rnacentral:rRNA from 6 species
GGGGAAUCUUGGACAAUGGGGGAAACCCUGAUCCAGCGAUGCCGCGUGAGUGAAGAAGGCCUUAGGGUUGUAAAGCUCUUUCACCCGUGAAGAUAAUGACGGUAACGGGAGAAGAAGCCCCGGCUAACUCCGUGCCAGCAGCCGCGGUAAGACGGAGGGGGCUAGCGUUGUUCGGAAUGACUGGGCGUAAAGGGCGCGUAGGCGGUUUUUUAAGUUGGGCGUGAAAGCCCCGGGCUUAACCUGGGAACUGCGCUUGAUACUGAAAGACUAGAGGACGAGAGAGGAAAGUGGAAUUCCGAGUGUAGAGGUGAAAUUCGUAGAUAUUCGGAGGAACAUCAGAGGCGAAGGCGGCUUUCUGGCUCGUAUCUGACGCUGAGGCGCGAAAGCGUGGGGAGCA